CAAAGGCUUAUACGGAGCAGUUAAAAAGAGACAGCGUGGUCACAGCUAAAGCAAUAAUAAAUAAUGAUAAUGUGAAGGUGCGCUAUGAGAAGUACAUGAAGGGAGAGGACCCAUUUGCAAUCGAUGCCAGUGACACAAGUUCUGAUUCUCAGGAUCCUGAGAAAUCUGAAGAGGAAGACGAAGAAAAUAGUGACUCAUAAUAAUGGACAAAGGAGUAUUAAAUGGAGAAAAAGAAGCAAAAGGAAAGGACUCUUUCUACUGUACUUUCUUGUUCUAUAACUUCAAAUGUCAUUCACGUGACCUUGCAACACAAAAGGCCUUCACAUUGAUCCACACAAGUGUAGGCUAGUUUUCUUCUGAUAAAGUGUAGGCAUUUUCCUCCUUUUUUUAUUGUUGUAUUCACAGUGCAGCCUGAGAUGAAUUCUGUCUACUAGGGCCAUGUUGUACUGUGUUUGAGUAUCUACUUGUACUAACAAUAUUUAGUCACUGUUCUGAACGUUAAACUUUACAGCUUUAUAUUUAUAUGCAGAUGUUACAUUUUGUUCCCUUUAAUAUUGGGGAUUGGAAAUUUGCCUUUUCACUGUUUGCUUUGAGAUGAGAUGGUGUGUUGACCAUUAAAUUUUCACUUUAAACUA